rnacentral:rRNA from 1 species
AUGGCUCAGAUUGAACGCUGGCGGCAGGCCUAACACAUGCAAGUCGAGCGGUAGCACAGAGAGCUUGCUCUCGGGUGACGAGCGGCGGACGGGUGAGUAAUGUCUGGGAAACUGCCUGAUGGAGGGGGAUAACUACUGGAAACGGUAGCUAAUACCGCAUAACGUCGCAAGACCAAAGUGGGGGACCUUCGGGCCUCAUGCCAUCAGAUGUGCCCAGAUGGGAUUAGCUAGUAGGUGGGGUAACGGCUCACCUAGGCGACGAUCCCUAGCUGGUCUGAGAGGAUGACCAGCCACACUGGAACUGAGACACGGUCCAGACUCCUACGGGAGGCAGCAGUGGGGAAUAUUGCACAAUGGGCGCAAGCCUGAUGCAGCCAUGCCGCGUGUGUGAAGAAGGCCUUCGGGUUGUAAAGCACUUUCAGCGGGGAGGAAGGCGGUGAGGUUAAUAACCUCAUCGAUUGACGUUACCCGCAGAAGAAGCACCGGCUAACUCCGUGCCAGCAGCCGCGGUAAUACGGAGGGUGCAAGCGUUAAUCGGAAUUACUGGGCGUAAAGCGCACGCAGGCGGUCUGUCAAGUCGGAUGUGAAAUCCCCGGGCUCAACCUGGGAACUGCAUUCGAAACUGGCAGGCUAGAGUCUUGUAGAGGGGGGUAGAAUUCCAGGUGUAGCGGUGAAAUGCGUAGAGAUCUGGAGGAAUACCGGUGGCGAAGGCGGCCCCCUGGACAAAGACUGACGCUCAGGUGCGAAAGCGUGGGGAGCAAACAGGAUUAGAUACCCUGGUAGUCCACGCUGUAAACGAUGUCGAUUUGGAGGUUGUGCCCUUGAGGCGUGGCUUCCGGAGCUAACGCGUUAAAUCGACCGCCUGGGGAGUACGGCCGCAAGGUUAAAACUCAAAUGAAUUGACGGGGGCCCGCACAAGCGGUGGAGCAUGUGGUUUAAUUCGAUGCAACGCGAAGAACCUUACCUGGUCUUGACAUCCACAGAACUUUCCAGAGAUGGAUUGGUGCCUUCGGGAACUGUGAGACAGGUGCUGCAUGGCUGUCGUCAGCUCGUGUUGUGAAAUGUUGGGUUAAGUCCCGCAACGAGCGCAACCCUUAUCCUUUGUUGCCAGCGGUUAGGCCGGGAACUCAAAGGAGACUGCCAGUGAUAAACUGGAGGAAGGUGGGGAUGACGUCAAGUCAUCAUGGCCCUUACGACCAGGGCUACACACGUGCUACAAUGGCAUAUACAAAGAGAAGCGACCUCGCGAGAGCAAGCGGACCUCAUAAAGUAUGUCGUAGUCCGGAUUGGAGUCUGCAACUCGACUCCAUGAAGUCGGAAUCGCUAGUAAUCGUAGAUCAGAAUGCUACGGUGAAUACGUUCCCGGGCCUUGUACACACCGCCCGUCACACCAUGGGAGUGGGUUGCAAAAGAAGUAGGUAG